rnacentral:rRNA from 1 species
CGAGGAGCUUGCUCCUCUGACGUUAGCGGCGGACGGGUGAGUAACACGUGGAUAACCUACCUAUAAGACUGGGAUAACUUCGGGAAACCGGAGCUAAUACCGGAUAAUAUAUUGAACCGCAUGGUUCAAUAGUGGAAGACGGUUUUGCUGUCACUUAUAGAUGGAUCCGCGCCGCAUUAGCUAGUUGGUAAGGUAACGGCUUACCAAGGCGACGAUGCGUAGCCGACCUGAGAGGGUGAUCGGCCACACUGGAACUGAGACACGGUCCAGACUCCUACGGGAGGCAGCAGUAGGGAAUCUUCCGCAAUGGGCGAAAGCCUGACGGAGCAACGCCGCGUGAGUGAUGAAGGUCUUCGGAUCGUAAAACUCUGUUAUUAGGGAAGAACAAAUGUGUAAGUAACUAUGCACGUCUUGACGGUACCUAAUCAGAAAGCCACGGCUAACUACGUGCCAGCAGCCGCGGUAAUACGUAGGUGGCAAGCGUUAUCCGGAAUUAUUGGGCGUAAAGCGCGCGUAGGCGGUUUUUUAAGUCUGAUGUGAAAGCCCACGGCUCAACCGUGGAGGGUCAUUGGAAACUGGAAAACUUGAGUGCAGAAGAGGAAAGUGGAAUUCCAUGUGUAGCGGUGAAAUGCGCAGAGAUAUGGAGGAACACCAGUGGCGA